rnacentral:rRNA from 1 species
UGAGGAAUUUUGCGCAAUGGGGGAAACCCUGACGCAGCGACGCCGCGUGGAGGAUGAAGGCCUUCGGGUCGUAAACUCCUGUCAGAGGUGAAGAAUGCCCGCAAGGGUUUGACGGUAACCUCAAAGGAAGCCCCGGCUAACUACGUGCCAGCAGCCGCGGUAAUACGUAGGGGGCAAACGUUGCUCGGAAUUACUGGGCGUAAAGGGAGUGUAGGCGGCUGGGCAAGUCAGAGAUGAAAUCCCGAGGCUUAACUUCGGAACUGUCUUUGAAACUGCCUAGCUUGAGGAUAGUCGAUGAAAAGGGAAUUCCCGGUGGAGCGGUGAAAUGCGUAGAUAUCGGGAGGAACACCUGAGGCGAAGGCGCUUUUCAAAACUACUCCUGACGCUGAGACUCGAAAGCUAGGGGAGCAAACGGG